rnacentral:tRNA from 1 species
UGGGGUAUGGUGUAACGGUAGCACAGCAGACUCUGGAUCUGUUUGUCUAGGUUCGAAUCCUAGUACCCCAG